rnacentral:misc_RNA from 1 species
GCUCCGUUGGUGAACCAGCGGAGGGAUCAUUACCGAGUUUACAACUCCCAAACCCCUGUGAACAUACCUAUCGUUGCCUCGGCGGUGCCCGCUCCGGCGGCCCGCCAGAGGACCCCCAAACUCUUGUUUUAUACAGUAUCUUCUGAGUAACACGAUUAAAUAAAUCAAAACUUUCAACAACGGAUCUCUUGGUUCUG